GAUGAACGCUAGCGGCAGGCUUAAUACAUGCAAGUCGAGGGGCAGCAUGAUUGUAGCAAUACAAUUGAUGGCGACCGGCAAACGGGUGCGGAACACGUACACAACCUUCCAACAAGUGGGGGAUAGCCCAGAGAAAUUUGGAUUAAUACCCCGUAACAUAGCGAUGUGGCAUCACAUUGCUAUUAUAGAUUUUUCGCUUGUUGAUGGGUGUGCGGCUGAUUAGUUAGUUGGCGGGGUAACGGCCCACCAAGUCUACGAUCAGUAGCUGAUGUGAGAGCAUGAUCAGCCACACGGGCACUGAGACACGGGCCCGACUCCUACGGGAGGCAGCAGUAAGGGAUAUUGGACAAUGGACGCAAGUCUGAUCCAGCCAUGCCGCGUGAAGGAUUAAGGUCCUCUGGAUUGUAAACUUCUUUUAUAAGGGACGAAAAAAGGCUUUUCUAAGUCGUCUGACGGUACCUUAUGAAUAAGCACCGGCUAACUCCGUGCCAGCAGCCGCAGUAACAC
rnacentral:rRNA from 1 species